UGUCAGACUUGAAGAAGGAUAUUCUUUGUGAUGAGUUUGUAUCAAAGUGAAUGAGUUUAUGUUAGUAAAGUUCAUGUAAUUUAUUAAUUUUAUUUUUUUAAGGCGAAAUAUCUGUUUAAUUUUAAUAUGAUUAUAAUUUGAUCAUAUAAUUGCAUCACAUCGGUUGUUCUUGCUUCCAAACCGUCAUGCCGGUAACGCCCUAGAUCUUAUAACAAUUAGUCAUCUCGUGGAAUAUGCAAUGCUUAAUAUACUUUAAUAUAAAAAACAUACAAUCUUUUUAAUACAAUAACAUCAUAUUGAAAAAUGGAUAGCAAGGGUAGAAAAAUCAUCGUUUGCGAUAACGGAACAGGGUUUGUAAAAUGUGGAUAUGCAGGAGCAAAUUUUCCAGCACAUAUAUUUCCAUCCAUAGUUGGACGUCCUAUUAUCAGAGCUGUCAAUAAAAUAGGAGACAUUGAUGUGAAGGAUGUGCUUAACAUGCCUGAUUUAAUGGUUGGGGAUGAAGCAAGUAAACUUCGGUCUAUGUUAGAGAUUAGUUAUCCAAUGCAAAAUGGAAUUGUUAGAAAUUGGGAAGAUAUGUGUCAUGUGUGGGAUUACACGUUUGGCAAGGAGAAAAUGAAUAUUAAUCCCAGAGAGUGCAAAAUUUUGUUAACAGAACCACCAAUGAAUCCCAUCACAAAUCGUGAAAAGAUGAUUGAGGUAAUGUUUGAAAAAUAUGGCUUUGCUGGAACAUACAUUGCAAUUCAAGCAGUACUUACAUUGUAUGCUCAAGGAUUGAUUAGCGGUGUUGUAGUAGAUUCCGGUGAUGGAGUCACUCAUAUUUGUCCUGUGUUUGAAGAAUAUGCUUUACCUCAUCUUACUCGACGACUAGAUAUAGCUGGUCGAGAUAUUACAAUGUAUUUGAUAAAACUUCUUUUAUUACGUGGCUAUGCAUUUAAUCAUUCUGCUGAUUUUGAAACAGUUAGAAUGUUAAAAGAAAAAUUAUGCUAUAUUGGAUAUAAUAUUGAAACUGAAGAAAAAUUAGCUCUUGAAACAACUGUAUUAGUUGAAUCAUAUACUUUGCCUGAUGGGAGGGUAAUAAAAGUAGGUGGAGAGAGAUUUGCAGCACCAGAAGCUUUAUUCCAGCCUCAUUUAAUAAAUGUUGAAGCUCAAGGAAUUGCUGAACUAGUGUUUAGUACUAUUCAAGCAGCUGAUAUUGAUAUAAGGAGUGAAUUAUAUAAGCAUAUUGUUUUAAGUGGAGGCAGUACAAUGUAUCCUGGGCUUCCAUCUAGACUUGAAAGAGAAAUUAAACAACUGUACCUUCAAAGAGUAUUAAAAAAUGAUACCUCAAAGUUAAAUAAAUUUAAGAUAAAAAUUGAAGAUUCCCCAAGACGUAAAGAUAUGGUUUUUAUGGGCGGUGCUGUAUUGGCAGAAAUCACAAAAGAUCGAGAAUCAGUAUGGAUAACAAGAGAAGAAUAUGAAGAAAAGGGUCUUAGUGUAUUAAAAAAAUUAGGUUCUUAUGAAUCUUAAGGAAAAUAGUUUUUAAAAUAUAGAAAAAAAGUAUGCAUUUUUUUAUAUUUGAAGUCGUUCCAAAGUGCAAAGUAUAUAUAUUUUACAUCCAUGAUUGAUUUAUACCAAAUUAUUUCAAGCAUGUACAGACUAUCCAACUAUUUUUUGGAGUAUUGAAUACUCCAUAUAUGUACAAUUGCCAUGAUGCAUAUAACAUAUUUGUGGACGAUUUAUAUAUUGUAAAUAUACUGUUUUCUAGUAAUUUAAUCAAUUUCAAUCAAAUUGCAAUCUUUAUCAAUAAGCAUAUAUCGUAAAUAAAUAGACAUAAUUAUAUGUCUAUUUUUUCAAUUUGCGAUUAUUUUAUAUUAUAAUGUUCCAUUUAAAUAUUGUAUCUAUAACUGCUCAAAAUAACAAUUUUUUAAUAUAAUGGCUAAAAUUAAAUAAUUAAAUUUGUAAAUAUUACAGUGUUCAACUUUAUCAUAUGUUUCGUUAUCUUUUAUACGUUUUGCAAUUUUGAAUGACAAGAAUCUUUUAUGCAAGUGCAUUGUUUGUUAUAAAAUCUUUAAAAUUUAAAAUACAUUUUUUUACACAAUUAUUCUCAAUUUUGGUUAUUAUUAUAAUUCACAAUAGUUUGUAAAUUACCUUAAUUAUUUUUAUAUAUUUACUUUAAUAUUUUUAAACUGAACUUACUGAAACAAAAUUUUAAUUUCAAUGUUCAGGUAAAAAUAUUUUAUAUGACGUAUAUAUAUAUAUGAUUUUUUUUCAAUUUUGAAUAAUUUAUAGAAAUAAAUGUAUCUCUCAUGAAAAUUCUGUCACUAAUUUUAAAACCUUGUAGAUGUUUAAUUGUUUAAUUGUAAAAUUGUAUAACAUAUAUAAACAAACUUUUUCUAAUUAUAAAAAAUAAAAAUAUGCGAUUUUCACUUAUAUUUUGAUAAUGAUAAGGAACUAAAUUAAGCUAACGGAUUUAAAAUAAUUACGGUAAAUCUACAACAGUCUUUAUUAUUAAUUAUAUUUCCCCAUUUGACCUUUAUACUGUGUACCAAUGUACACUUUUUAUGUAUAAAUAAAAAUAACAAUAUAAUUU